rnacentral:tRNA from 1 species
GAAGUGCUUAGUGGUCAGAGCGUCUGGACGGUAUCCAGGAGGCGAGGGUUUGAUUCCCCCUACGUUCA